CGUGGCAGACAGCUCAGUAACACGUGGCUAACCUGCCCUUAGGAUGGGAACAACCCCGGGAAACUGGGGCUAAUUCCCGAUAGGUGAAGAACUCUGGAAUGAGUCUUUGCCUAAAAGGCGUCGGAUCAUGCUUUCGGCGUCGCCUAAGGAUGGGGCCGCGACCGAUCAGGUUGUUGGUGAGGUAAUGGCCCACCAAGCCUAUAACCGGUGCGGGCCGUGAGAGCGGGAGCCCGGAGAUGGGCACUGAGACAAGGGCCCAGGUCCUACGGGGCGCAGCAGUCGCGAAAACUUUGCAAUACACGAAAGUGUGACAGGGUCAUCCCGAGUGCCGACCGCUGAGGUUGGCUUUUACCCAGUCUAGAACGCUGGGGGAAUAAGGAGAGGGCAAGUCUGGUGUCAGCCGCCGCGGUAAUACCAGCUCUCCGAGUGGUGUGGACGUUUAUUGGGCCUAAAGCAUCCGUAGCUGGCUGAACAAGUCCCUUGUUAAACCCACCGAUUUAAUCGUUGGUCUGCGGGGGAUACUGCUCGGCUAGGGGACGAGAGAGGCAGGCGGUAUUCCCGGGGUAGGGGUGAAAUCCUAUAAUCCCGAGAAGACCACCAGUGGCGAAGGCUGCCUGCUAGAACGCGCCCGACGGUGAGGGAUGAAAGCUGGGGGAGCGAACCGGAUUAGAUACCCGGGUAGUCCCAGCUGUAAACGAUGCAGACUAGGUGUUUGGACGGCCACGUGCCGUUCUAGUGCCGCAGGGAAGCUGUUAAGUCUGCCGCCUGGGGAAACGAUCGCAAGAUUGAAC
rnacentral:rRNA from 1 species